CAGUAGCCGCGGGAACACAGAGGGUGCGAGCGUUAAUCGGAUUUACUGGGCGUAAAGCGUGCGUAGGCGGUUUGUUAAGUCUGCUGUGAAAUCCCCGGGCUCAACCUGGGAAUGGCAGUGGAUACUGGCAAGCUAGAGUGUGUCAGAGGAUGGUGGAAUUCCCGGUGUAGCGGUGAAAUGCGUAGAGAUCGGGAGGAACAUCAGUGGCGAAGGCGGCCAUCUGGGACAACACUGACGCUGAGGCACGAAAGCGUGGGGAGCAAACAGGAUUAGAUACCCCUGUAGUCCCUGUCUCUUAUCA
rnacentral:rRNA from 1 species